GCGCCCAUAGCUCAGUUGGAUAGAGCGCUUGCCUCCGGAGCAAGAGGCCGCAAGUUCGAGCCUUGCUGGGCGCGCCA
rnacentral:tRNA from 2 species